UACGUAGGGUCCAAGCGUUGUUCGGAUUCACUGGGCGUAAAGGGUGUCUAGGCGGCCAGGUAAGUCGUGUGUGAAAUCUCUCGGCUCAACCGAGAAACUGCACGCGAUACUGCUUGGCUUGAGUACGGUAGGGGGAACUGGAAUUCAGGGUGUAGCGGUGAAAUGCACAGAUAUCCUGGAGAACACCGAUGGCGUAGGCAAGUUCCUGGGCCUGUACUGACGCUGAAGCACGAAAGCUAGGGGAGCAAACAGG
rnacentral:misc_RNA from 1 species